AAUAAACCAAUUUUUCACUUUUUACCUAUAAUUUUUGACUCUUCGUCUUAUUCAAAUUUUUUAUGCAAAUGAUAUUUUUGUUUUUUAGAUGAUAAAUCAUGAAUAGUAUACGUGUGACUAAUUUUUUUCUAAUUUUCUGAAAAUUUUUUAAAUAAGAUAGAUAGUCAAACGUUGGACACGAAGACAGGAGAAUUGAUU
rnacentral:pre_miRNA from 1 species